CCUACGGGUGGCAGCAGUGGGGAAUAUUGCACAAUGGGCGCAAGCCUGAUGCAGCCAUGCCGCGUGUGUGAAGAAGGCCUUCGGGUUGUAAAGCACUUUCAGCGGGGAGGAAGGCGGUGAGGUUAAUAACCUCAUCGAUUGACGUUACCCGCAGAAGAAGCACCGGCUAACUCCGUGCCAGCAGCCGCGGUAAUACGGAGGGUGCAAGCGUUAAUCGGAAUUACUGGGCGUAAAGCGCACGCAGGCGGUCUGUCAAGUCGGAUGUGAAAUCCCCGGGCUCAACCUGGGAACUGCAUUCGAAACUGGCAGGCUAGAGUCUUGUAGAGGGGGGUAGAAUUCCAGGUGUAGCGGUGAAUGCGUAGAGAUCUGGAGGAAUACCGGUGGCGAAGGCGGCCCCCUGGACAAAGACUGACGCUCAGGUGCGAAAGCGUGGGGAGCAAACAGGAUUAGAUACCCCGGUAGUC
rnacentral:rRNA from 1 species